UGUUCCGCGCGCGAAGACACGAUCUACCGUGAGUCGAAUCGGGAAUCAACGUCGUACCGACUCUCGCGUAUACCUUCUUAUCGCGAUGAUGGUCCAUUCGACGCCGAAGAGGGCUGCGUUUCGAGCUAGAUAUCGGCGAGCAUAAUUGGUAACGAAAACAGAGCUAAUCGGGAGAAUCUCGUAGCGUACGCACACGCGUACGUGUACGCGAGGAUAUCGAGGGCGUAUCGCUGCGCGUUAUUUCAAUUUGCAUGGUGGCGGGUAAUCGCGUUCCCAGAACUAAUUUAGCCGUAUCGGACGGGGGACACGGUCCGUGAUCGUAAGCCAGAUAACAUUGCAGAUGAUUAUCGGACGGCGCGAUUUCUUGCCGGCCGGAAACCACGUUCUACCGUGUACGCCAUUGUAUGGUAAUCGCCCUUCACGAAAUCUGAAGUGGAAAAAAGGAACGAAAAGUGGGAGAAGUCAUUGCGCAAUUCAUCGUCGGUCUUCCCCUCUGUCUGCUUCCAUUCAUACGCAGGAGUCAUAGAGAGAGAGAGAGAGAGAGAGAGAGAGAGAGAGAGAGACAGCGAGAGCAACGCUACGACGCACGUGGGAUAUAGCAACCGGAGAUAACGCUUCCAGAUUCUCAUUCGAUUGCGCCACAAAUUAAAAGAAUUAAUGAGCAACGUCGUGGCUCGUGACGACAGCUGCUAUAGCGUUCGAGAGUCGAGAGGGUAAUUGCGUUAGUCUUGACGUUUAUUUUACGACUGCCUUUCGUGCUCGGUUAACCCGGACGUGUAACAAUCGUUUUCGUCGGAACACGCGGAAAGAGUUAUCGGCGAAAUGAACGGGGCAGUUUUCAUCUCAAGGUCAAUUCGGUCAGCCUCACCUCCAAGAGGAUCGAGGAUGGUUGCGAGCAAGAGGAUCGAGAAAGUCGAGCAAUCGUAAUAGCGAGCUGUCAAGUUCGAUUGUCUAGGACAGCGAAUGGCAUUGGGAUAACUGUUCGGCGGGAAAGAAAGGCGAAUAGAAAAUAUUUGAAUUUCUUUUAGGCGGUUUCGCGUCACAGCGCUACCACAAGAAGCUUUUUACCACGGCGAUCCAAUUGAUUC